CUACGGGAGGCUGCAGUAAGGAAUAUUGGUCAAUGGGCGAAAGCCUGAACCAGCCAUGCCGCGUGAGUGAAGACGGCCUUCGGGUUGUAAAACUCUUUUCUAAGGGAAGAACCAGCAGGACAGGAAAUGGUCCCGCUCUGACGGUACCUUAGGAAUAAGGAACGGCUAACUCCGUGCCAGCAGCCGCGGUAAUACGGAGGUUCCAAGCGUUGUUCGGAUUUACUGGGCGUAAAGGGAGCGCAGGCGGAAGGGUCAGUCUGAAGUGGAAUCCCGGGGCUCAACCUCGGACGUGCUUUGGAUACUGCCCUUCUUGAGUCCGUGAGAGGAAAGCGGAAUUCAGGGUGUAGCGGUGAAAUGCUUAGAUAUCCUGAGGAACACCAAUGGCGAAAGCAGCUUUCUGGCACGUGACUGACGCUGAGGCUCGAAAGCGUGGGGAGCGAAUGGGAUUAGAUACCCGCGUAGUC
rnacentral:rRNA from 1 species